AUCUAAUGAACUCAUCCCGUCAGU
rnacentral:miRNA from 1 species